rnacentral:rRNA from 1 species
GACGAACGCUGGCGGCGUGCUUAACACAUGCCAGUCGAACGGAAAGGCCCUGCUUUUGUUGGGUGCUCGAGUGGCGAACGGGUGAGUAACACGUGAGUAACCUGCCCUUGACUUUGGGAUAACUUCAGGAAACUGGGGCUAAUACCGGAUAGGAGCUCCUGCUGCAUGUUGGGGGUUGGAAAGUUUCGGCGGUUGGGGAUGGACUCGCGGCUUAUCAGCUUGUUGGUGGGGUAGUGGCUUACCAAGGCUUUGACGGGUAGCCGGCCUGAGAGGGUGACCGGCCACAUUGGGACUGAGAUACGGCCAAGACGCCUACGGGAGGCAGCAGUGGGGAAUAUUGCACAAUGGGCGGAAGCCUGAUGCAGCAACGCCGCGUGCGGGAUGACGGCCUUCGGGUUGUAAACCGCUUUCGCCUGUGACGAAGCGUGAGUGGCGGUAAUGGGUAAAGAAGCACCGGCUAACUACGUG